CCAGUGUAGACCAGGCCUGAGUCUUAUCCCAGUACCCAGCUGCUCGCAUCAAAUGGUGACUAGGCAGCUAAGAUCCUGAACAUCCUGUUGACCCUGGUACUCACACCAAGCUCCAAUGAAUUAUAUGGGCCUCUUAAACAGUUGCGAGGGCCUGUUCACGUAUUUCCGAUUGUAGGGUCAGGGUUUAGGUGGUAGCAGGCACCGGAAGGCCACUGGCCAAACCCAGCCCUGAUGGGUGUAGAUUCGACCCUGCUGAACACCUGGAGGGCAGUUCCAACUCUGAAAUGGAGCCCUCCGUCAGGACGCCGUGUGCGCAGGGAGGGAUGCCGGCAUUUAGUGGUGCCAUUCUCCAGGUGCACUGGUGCCGCAUGGCUCACUCUGCCGGAAGGUAAGCGAUCCAUCCCACUGCACUCUGAAAGGAGGAGUCAGUAAGCCUGGUGCUGUCCCUUAUGCGGGGGGGAGGAGGGGGACUGCAGAACUUUCUCCAACUAUUGUGUUGUACAAGUGUUGCGAGCACCCUUUGGACCAUUGUUAUUUAAUACUGCAGCACUUAUUAAUAGGUACUGGCAAACGUUCCCUUGUUCUGACCGGUAUCUCCCAGGCUAUGGGGGUGUGUUUGCCUACACAGUCACUGCCCUCUCUGCACUGAAGCCCCUGCUUUGGGAGGAAGAAGGGCACCACACAAACCCGAAUCUGAGCCUCAACUUGCCACUCUGGCUCCGUGGAAGGUCUCCACCCAACUGGACCCAAGCCCGUAUAGAUUGGCUUGCGUGGAGGUCUGGGUAAGGGGAGUUGAGGCCAGUGCUUUACCAUCCAAAGAUCCAAAUUACACUGAUCUUUUGCCUCAUUCCCUUGACUUAGGAUCCCAGCUCGAUGUGCUGCAGACUCCCUCAGGUUAGCUUUCCACACAGCAGCACACAGGCCAAUAGUUCUCCAGGCAACUUUUGAAGUACGCAGCUGAGGUCUCUGCCCAGGGAUGAAAUCCAGUAUGGAUACGUCAUCAUCCUUCAACCCCACGCCCUGGCUGGUUGCAUUUGCUGGGGUCAUUGGCAGGCGUUGUAUUACCCUGUUCCCGCCCUGGCCUGUGUGAUCUCUUCGGAGAUUUGAAGACUGUAAGACGGAGUCGGGUACCGUUCCCAGGUAAGAAACUGCCUUUGCUGUUCAGGAAAACAAUCGUGCUAUGCACCGUGUAGUGUUGCGCUUUAGUAUCCUCUCUCUUGCCGAGCAAUCCAGGAAAUCCCCCAUUACAACUUACUGUUCUCAGCCAGGGUGAAGUUUUGAGGAGGCUGGAGGUUCUGGUCGAAAUUCACAGGAAAUGCAACACCCCCGUCUCCAUACUGCAACAUGCUGUACAGUUGGGCGUUACGGAGCAGAGGUGCAGUUGGUCCCCACUGAAUAAACAGCAAAGCAUUUGUAAAUGGAUCCUUAACGAGACACUUUGCCUUAGUCAUUUAGUGUAUUUAAAACUGACAACAAAACUGUUCAGUGACACGCCAUCGCAUGAGUUACCUUGUAACCUAAGUCCUGCCGCCUGACAGCUUUUAACGUAGGGCCUGAUCCUGCAUCGCUGAAGUGAAUGGGAAUCAGACUGGGACCUUAAGGCAAAUGUUUUCAAAGUACCUGAGGUGAUGUCUACACUAGCAAUGCUUCCCUGGUAUAGGAAUACCGUAUACUAUCCCGGCAAAGUGCUGCUCCCGGUGCUGGUAUAAUAAAACCACCCUGCAGGAGCGAAACAAGCUUCACUGGCAGCUUUGCCAGUACAGCUGCCUCUACGCUAGAGGCUUCAGCUGGCACAGCUGUGUGGGCCAGAGCUCACACCGCUUCACACCUGACCGACACAACGAUGCUGGCAGAAGUCUGUAGUGUACACCUGGCCUGAGUGAUUUAGGAGCCAAAACCCCAUUUUCAGAAAUGACCGUGACACUUAAGUAAUCCAAGUCCCACUGAUUUUUCCAUGAGACUGAUGCUCUGACGUGCCAGUGACACUGCUGAAAAUGGGACUUAGGCCCUUCAGCUCUAUUCCCCCCUUUACACACACCCAUACUCUCACGCACACACACAUGGGUGUGUGUAUAUGGCUAUAGUUGAGUAUACAAUACACACAUUUGUAUAUGCCCAUAUUGUGUGCACUCAAACUUUGGCACCAGUUAACAACUUGAUGCAGGUGGGUCGUUGCUCCUAAAGCCGAAGGCCAGAUUUUGCCCUUCAGAAGCUCCCAUAGUGUGUGUGUGACUUUUCUGCAGAUAUCUGUGCAACAUAAGAGUCGUGCGAGCUACUUGCUCUGCUGCUGUCUUGCACGUCGCCACGGCUGUCAGUGGGGGUGGUUCCUAUCUGCAUGUUUUGAUACCUAGGCCAAACUGGAUCUUUUUUCCCUCCGUGCAUGCUUAGCAUUUAUGUAUUUAUUUUCUUUCACCUCUUUGCUAAGACACCAUGCCGCCUUCAGCCAUAGAAGUGGCUGUUUUCCCACCGGCAUUAAUGAGCAUGGGCCAUGUUAACUGUGAACAGUGUUGUCUGACAGAUCAUCUGCACUGAGGUGGAAUGCCAGGAUCCCAGCAUCAUCUUCUCCUGAAGAGCAUCACUCAGUGGAGGGGAACGUCGAAAACAGAAGUGUGGGAAAGAGGCAUCUCCCCAGGAAACCUUGUCCCUCCAUUCAAGACCUCUGAAUUAUGUGACGGGCACAUUGGGAUUUAACCAGCCUGUGGCUUUUGUGAUCAGCUGAUACAAACUAACAGCUGCUCUUCCACAUCUGACUGGCAGAGUUUCUCUGGGAUGAAAUAUAAUAGCACUUGGAAAAAGACGUCGAGUAACACAGACAAUGGUUGGAAUGAGCGAGAAGUGCUGAGGAGAGAUGUCCAGAUCCUGAAGUGAUCUUGCAACCAAGUUAGUCAAACAAGAAAAACAGCUUUUCUCUUUUCUGGCCUCUUCUGAUGAAACAAGCCCCUAAGUCACGUCCCUUUGUGGGGACAAAGCACCGAUGGAUGAACAAUACAGUCCCUGGAUCUGUACAGCUCCACUGGCUCAAAGCAGCGCAGCCUUCUGCAUGGAGAAACUGUCUCUCUACACUUGAGAGCAUUUUUUUAAAAAGUUAACCGAAAAGAAUAAAUAUAGACUCAUUUACCGGAAGUUUCCAAAACCUUCCAUCGUUCUAAAGGAUCAUUAAAGAAGAUGAAUAACUCCACGAUUUUCACCCUGGUUGGAGAGGGCAGCAUCUGUUGUUCUUCAUGUUUCCUUUGUGCCACCUGUGGUUGGCUGCCACCGAAGGACUAGAAUGUGGUGAGUAUCCCCAUUGGAGGGGCUUUAUGAAAUAUUAGCCAUUUCUGCUGGUCUCUGUUUACCUGCAAAGAACUGAGGCGCUGCUGCUGUUGGCUAGACAAUUGCAGCGCAGGGCUUCAAAGGUGCUGCAGUUGGGAGUUCCACACAACCCUCGCUGCCUGCACAGACAGGUGAUGUACAAAGAGGGAAGCUUGGGGUAUGCUGGACACCAGCAGGCAUCUCGAAGUAUGUGGAGUCCAUGCUGACAGUGUUGAAUGACAUCAAAACACAUGAGCAGUCAGCAUCCCUAUAAAAACUGGAGCUUAGCUGGAUGGACAGAAGCAUGGUUGUAGGAGCAUGAUUGUUCACUGGGCAAUUACCUGAAGGGAUACAUUGUGUGUAGGGUAGAGACCGGAGCAGCCAGCUGCAGAAGGGACUACUGGAAGAAGUCAGGUGAUUUCAUGCCCUGCUACCUCCCUCUGGGUCUGGUGUGCCUACUGUAUUCUGGGCUCUAGCAUGGCCAGAGGUACAAAGAUCGUGUCUCUGCUACCCCCAAGUCCUGGCCAUGGGUUCAUUCCCUCAUGCCUGGACUUUAGCAAAAAUACUUCUGCCAGGCUUCCCAAAUCCACCCUAUUCCACUACAAUUAUGACUCCCCUGCCAUCCUCUCCCUCGGGACCUAGAUUUUCAAAAACACGAGCCUCAAGUUAGGAACCUAACUAGAUUUUCCAAGAGGAAGGAGGGUAGAGGCCACGCAUAGUUGGCACCACUCUCAGCAGUUGUGUAUGGAGAUGCAUGUUGGGGUCUGGGGCAAAAGGCCGCAUCCAGUGAGGUGAGUGGGAGGAGUUACAACCUUAUAGACAAUUACACUCAUCCAGUGUCGUACCUGUGCUGCUGUAGUAUAGACAUACCUAAAGGUAUAAAUUAAUGUAGAUCACUGCUCCUUUCCUUUUCACUGCCUUCCCACACCGGAGCGCGCACUCUAAUCUAUCUGUGGCACUGAAGGAACGUAAAGUCCAAUGGCGGACAGUUAACUCUCUGGAGGAAGGAACCCUUUGUCUACCUACACUGGGCUCUGCCUUCAUCUACUCACAGGAGCCCUGCAACAGCAAAAAUAAACUCACCAUUUACAACAGCAUUGCCUGUCCCUCCACAUGCAGCAUCCUUUAUCUUCCCAAUCUUGAACGGAUUGUUCAGGUGGUUAUGUAAACUAUGGAUGCGUCCUCCGUCUGCUGGACUGAGGACAUGGUGUAUGUGAUCCCACAGCUGGAAAAUGAACUAUGUUCAGUUGAAUGAGGCCGAAGGGGAAGACAACUGAUUGGGGAAAGUGGCAAAGCUGAAAUAAUCCAUCUUGAACUACAAAACUUUUAAGGGGUGCAUACCUAAAGGAAUCCAGUCAUCCCAGAGCUGAAGAACUAGAUACGACACGGAAGCUAGCCACUCAACAGGAGUGUUUGCAAACAAUCACCAGAGACCAGAAGGCCAUAGCCUGUCUCAAAGGAAGUCCGUGUCAUCCCAUUUUACUGAUGGGGAAACUGAGGCGGGACAUGCCUUGCCCAGUCAUCAAGCAGCGAGUAGCAGAGCCAGGAAAAGAACCCAAGUAUCCCGAGUCCCAGUCCAGUGCUCUAUGCUCUAGGUUACACUGCCUCAGAAGUGACCUAGUAUUUCUGUUUCCUGACUGGAUGCCAAAAAUACACACGUGACUUUGAGGCUGAGCUUUCUGCAAACCUUCUUCUCUGUAAAAGCCAUCAGCAGAAAGCCAAUGUCCAUGAGGAGCAAAGAUGACAGAAGCAAGUUAAAUUUUAAAAAGCAAUUGAAUGUCUGGACUUUUCUGUUUUUUUGCAGUAUUCACUCAGCCUCAGGUCCCUGCUGUAGACUCAAACCUUAAUAAAAAGAUUAAAUAAAGGGA